GGGGAUGUGGCUCAGUGGUAGAGUGCUGCCUGGCAUAAAGCCCUAGGUUCAACUCCUAGCAACACAC
rnacentral:tRNA from 1 species